UUGUUGCAGGUAAGGAGUGGAACUUGGAGAGUAUAGUCAUGAUUACUUCUCAGCGAAAGGAUGCCAGACCUAAGAAGCAUUGCAGGGCAUCCACACGGCCACCCGUAUGGUGACACACGGUCGUGUUAAUCAAAACAAUGGAUUAACACGGGCGCCCGUGUGGUGACACACGGCCGUGUUAAUUAAAACAGUGGAUUAACACGGGCGCGCAUGUGGUGACACACGAUCGUGUUAAUUAAAACAGUGGAUUAACACGGGCGCCCGUGUGCAGGAAC
rnacentral:lncRNA from 1 species